GGUCUCGUGGCCGAGUGGCUAGGCGCCGGUCUGCAAAACCGUUUACAGCGGUUCGAAUCCGCUCGAGACCU
rnacentral:tRNA from 1 species